rnacentral:rRNA from 1 species
ACGGGAGGCAGCAGUGGGGAAUAUUGGACAAUGGGCGCAAGCCUGAUCCAGCGACGCCGCGUGAGUGAAGAAGUAUUUCGGUAUGUAAAGCUCUAUCAGCAGGGAAGAUAAUGACGGUACCUGACUAAGAAGCCCCGGCUAACUACGUGCCAGCAGCCGCGGUAAUACGUAGGGGGCAAGCGUUAUCCGGAUUUACUGGGUGUAAAGGGAGCGUAGACGGUAUGGCAAGUCUGAUGUGAAAACCCAGGGCUCAACCCUGGGACUGCAUUGGAAACUGUCAAACUAGAGUGCAGGAGAGGAAGCGGAAUUCCUAGUGUAGCGGUGAAAUGCGUAGAUAUUAGGAGGAACACCAGUGGCGAAGGCGGCUUACUGGACCACAACUGACGCUGAGACACGAAAGCGUGGGGAGCAAACAGGAUUAGAUACCCUGGUA